UUUUCUAAGUUGGGACCUAGGGGACUCAAAUAAAAACAUUCCAGGGUUAUACGGUUAACUGUUAAUGAGUUAUAUAAACACACCGACAAAUUUAUUUGUAAAGGUAGAUAACUCCUAUAAAAUUUCAUCGAAUCGCUUCGAUCCAAAUGCGCCAAAAAUUACUGAGGAUGUAACGAACAAUUUGUAAAAAGAAUUUUGUCGAUAUCUUUUUUUGUUGCGAAGGAGAUGCACACAGAUGAUAAACAGUGAAUAGGGAGAUAACUCUUACAAAGAAAAUGGUUCGGCUUAGCAGGGUAAAAUUUAAAAGCGCAUAAACUAUACGAUACCAUAUGAGAAAUAUCUAAGCGACAUAUUGCGAAACAAACAUUUAUCGCAAGAACAAAAUUUGGCGGAAAAAAAAAAUAAUAAUCACAAGAA
rnacentral:lncRNA from 1 species